GACGAACGCUGGCGGCGUGCCUAACACAUGCAAGUCGAGCGAAUGAAGUUCCUUCGGGAAUGGAUUUAGCGGCGGACGGGUGAGUAACACGUGGGCAACCUGCCUCAUAGAGGGGAAUAGCCUUCCGAAAGGGAGGUUAAUACCGCAUAAGAUUGUAGUAUCGCAUGAUACAGCAAUUAAAGGAGCAAUCCGCUAUGAGAUGGGCCCGCGGCGCAUUAGCUAGUUGGUGAGGUAACGGCUCACCAAGGCGACGAUGCGUAGCCGACCUGAGAGGGUGAUCGGCCACAUUGGGACUGAGACACGGCCCAGACUCCUACGGGAGGCAGCAGUGGGGAAUAUUGCACAAUGGGGGAAACCCUGAUGCAGCAACGCCGCGUGAGUGAUGACGGCCUUCGGGUUGUAAAGCUCUGUCUUCAGGGACGAUAAUGACGGUACCUGAGGAGGAAGCCACGGCUAACUACGUG
rnacentral:rRNA from 1 species